rnacentral:rRNA from 1 species
AUUGAACGCUGGCGGCAUGCCUUACACAUGCAAGUCGAACGGCAGCGGACCUUCGGGUGCCGGCGAGUGGCGAACGGGUGAGUAAUAUAUCGGAACGUACCUUUCAGUGGGGGAUAACGUAGCGAAAGUUACGCUAAUACCGCAUAUUCUGUGAGCAGGAAAGCAGGGGAUCGCAAGACCUUGCGCUGAUUGAGCGGCCGAUAUCAGAUUAGCUAGUUGGUGAGGUAAAGGCUCACCAAGGCGACGAUCUGUAGCGGGUCUGAGAGGAUGAUCCGCCACACUGGAACUGAGACACGGUCCAGACUCCUACGGGAGCAGCAGUGGGGAAUUUUGGACAAUGGGCGCAAGCCUGAUCCAGCCAUGCCGCGUGAGUGAAGAAGGCCUGGUGUAAG